GUUUGAUCCUGGCUCAGAACGAACGCUGGCGGCGUGCCUAACACAUGCAAGUCGUACGAGAAAUCCUGGGAAACCGGGAGAGUAAAGUGGCGCACGGGUGAGUAACGCGUGGGUAACCUGCCCUUGAGUUGGGGAUAACCCCGCGAAAGCGGCUAAUACCGAAUAAUAUGUCGAUCCCUACGGGGAUGGACAUCAAAGAUGGCCUCUGCAUGCAAGCUAUUGCUCAGGGAUGGGCCCGCGUACCAUUAGCUUGUUGGUAGGGUAAUGGCCUACCAAGGCAACGAUGGUUAGCUGGUCUGAGAGGAUGGCCAGCCACACUGGAACUGAGACACGGUCCAGACUCCUACGGGAGGCAGCAUGGGGAAUCUUGCGCAUGGGGAAACCUACGCAGCAACCCGCUUGUAUUAAGGCCUUCGUCUAAACCCUUCAUUG
rnacentral:rRNA from 1 species